GAUGAACGCUGGCGGCGUGCCUAAUACAUGCAAGUCGAGCGAACAGAUAAGGAGCUUGCUCCUUUGACGUUAGCGGCGGACGGGUGAGUAACACGUGGGUAACCUACCUAUAAGACUGGGAUAACUUCGGGAAACCGGAGCUAAUACCGGAUAAAAUUUGGAACCGCAUGGUUCUAAAGUGAAAGAUGGUUUUGCUAUCACUUAUAGAUGGACCCGCGCCGUAUUAGCUAGUUGGUAAGGUAACGGCUUACCAAGGCAACGAUACGUAGCCGACCUGAGAGGGUGAUCGGCCACACUGGAACUGAGACACGGUCCAGACUCCUACGGGAGGCAGCAGUAGGGAAUCUUCCGCAAAGGGCGAAAGCCUGACGGAGCAACGCCGCGUGAGUGAUGAAGGGUUUCGGCCCGUAAAACUCUGUUAUUAGGGAAGAACAAACGUGUAAGUAACUGUGCACGUCUUGACGGUACCUAAUCAGAAAGCCACGGCUAACUACGUG
rnacentral:rRNA from 1 species